rnacentral:rRNA from 1 species
CCUACGGGUGACAGCAGUGAGGAAUAUUCGUCAAUGGGCGCGAGCCUGACCCAGCCAAGUAGCGUGAAGGAUGACUGCCCUACGGAUUGUAAACUUCUUUUAUAAAGGAAUAAAGUGAGGCACGUGUGCCUUUUUGUAUGUACUUUAUGAAUAAGGAUCGGCUAACUCUGGGCCAGCAGCCGCGGUAAGACGGAGGAUCCGAGCGUUAUCCGGAUUUAUUGGGUUUAAAGGGAGCGUAGAUGGGUUGUUAAGUCAGUUGUGAAAGUUUGCGGCUCAACCGUAAAAAUGCAAUUGAUACUGGCAGUCUUGAGUACAGGUGAGGUAGGCGGAAUUCGUGGUGUAGCGGUGAAAUGCUUAGAUAUCACGAAGAACUCCGAUUGCGAAGGCAGCUUACUAAACUGCCACUGACAUUGAUGCUCGAAAGUGUGGGUAUCAAACAGGAUUAGAUACCCCGGUAGUC